ensembl:snoRNA small nucleolar RNA SNORA31
AUGCAUCUAUUUGACAGACCUGGAGCAGUUACUGUCUGCUGCUAAGGUUUUCAUUACAGAUGCAAGAAAAAAGUGUCCUUGCCCUUUCUGUCUGUCUAAUUGUGGCAGCCAUGAUUGAAUGGGGGAAUACAAGG